UGCAGGAGAGUUCACUGGAGAAUCUGUAGAAGACUGCACACAGGAACCACUGGAGACAAAUGAAGCACUGCAGAGAAAGUCCAUGGAAGAACUGCUCACUGGAAACACUGAAGACCAUUGAAGCACUGACAUCCUUCAGUGCUGGGACAGGCUAUUUAAACCCACAGGUUAGCAGGGAUUGGUGGGCAAUUAACCAGAGACCAGAGUGCAGCUGCUGUGUAAUCAGGCUGGGAGCAGAGUGCAGCUGAUUGGCUGAAAAGUAACAUGUGAUGAAAACAAACAUGGCUGCGCCCAUGUUUGAACUUGGAGGGAAAGACUGUUUGUAACUUGCAUGUGAGUUUAACCAUGAAGCUGCCAGAAUCACAGUAAAGAGAUUUGAGACAAUGAGAUGCAGAGUGCUGCACACAGACAGUGCAGAUGGAAUCCAGGCUUGGAACACUGGGACAGUAUCAGGAGGCAUUUGGAAGGUGGAUGGGAUGCCACAGCAGGGACAAAGCAGAAAGGGAAGGACUGACGGGCACAGCGUCAUGCGGUGCAUCAUGACAUAAUUCGUGGGCCGGACCAAUUGACCAGAAGGUUACCGGAGAGGGAUUGUUUGUGCCCCUGAUGAAGUCCCAUUGGGGACGAAACGCGUUGGAAGCAUCUAUUAUUCUACAGGUGUGUUGCUCAGUGAAUCUAUGCCAACAAAGAAACACACAAAUCAUUGAAUGUAAAACCGAUACUUC